rnacentral:rRNA from 1 species
AACGUAGGACGCAAGCGUUAUCCGGAGUUACUGGGCGUAAAGCGUGCGCAGGCGGUUUUGUAAGCCAGAUGUGAAAUCCCCGGGCUUAACCUGGGAAUGGCAUUUGGGACUGCAAGGCUCGAGUGCGGCAGAGGAGACUGGAAUUCCUGGUGUAGCAGUGAAAUGCGUAGAUAUCAGGAGGAGCACCGAUGGCGAAGGCAGGUCUCUGGGCUGACACUGACGCUCAUGCACGAAAGCGUGGGGAGCAAACAGG